CCGUCCACUGUAGUAUCGCGUGAGUUGGAGCGAUUCACUUCCUGUACCAGUGAACUGCUGAUUUUCAUGCGGCUCUCGAAUGUGAGCGGCUGUCAGAGGUGAACAUGGCUGAGGUCUCGGAGAGGACUCUUCAGGUCGCCGUCGUGGUCUCCUUCGCGGCCGGCUUCGUGGCGGGCUGGCAGGCCAACAGGAUGAGGAGGAAGUUCCUGGACUGGAAGAAGAAGCGGCUCCAAGACAAACUGUCAGAAACUCAGAAGAAGCUGGAUUUGGCUUGAAUGGUGUGGGCUGUCCUACAUAAUCACUGGUCUUCUCUUUGUAAAUCUGUGGAUCCUGGAUGUGCUACAUGUCUGUCUGAACCUCAAGAUGACUUCCUGUGUUCUGCACCACCCAUAUUUUCCUGCCACACCUGUUAAUCCAGACAGGACUUGAUGUUUACUAAAGUAUAUGGCAAUACAAUCAUUACCUACAAACAGUAGCUCAUAUUCUGCCCUCAGACACUAACAUGGAAGCAGUUUGGCAUCAGGCUUUGGAGGUUUUCUCUUCCAGCAUGUCUCAGUUUCUGUCUGUUUCAUAUCUGGUUAAAUAAAUUAUUGUAUUUUUCACGUUU